AGCCACCCCUUUUCUCUUCAACCAAGGUUGGAGGCCAAGAUCAGCCCUCAGGGAUCAUCAUCAGGACUGCCAUGAGCUGAGCCGCCUUGUUUUCCUGCCGCAAACAUGU
rnacentral:snoRNA from 1 species